UACAGAGGGUGCGAGCGUUGUCCGGAAUCACUGGGCGUAAAGGGCGCGUAGGCGGCUUGAUAAGGUUGCGGUGAAAGCCCGGGGCUCAACCCCGGGUCGGCCGUGGCAACUGUCGAGCUGGAGCACUGUAGAGGCAGGUGGAAUUCCGGGUGUAGCGGUGGAAUGCGUAGAGAUCCGGAAGAACACCGGUGGCGAAGGCGGCCUGCUGGGCAGUGGCUGACGCUGAUGCGCGACAGCGUGGGGAGCAAACAGG
rnacentral:rRNA from 1 species